rnacentral:rRNA from 1 species
AUGAACAGGACAAUUGUGGAGAGAGUUAGAUGCUUGUUGUCAAGUGCAAAGCUACGUAAACACUUUUGGGGUGAGGCUUUGAUGACUACAGUUUAUCUUAUUAAUCUCUCACCAAGUUAUCCAUUGCAGGGAGAUGUUCCUAACAGAGUCUGGUGUGACAAGGACGUCUCAUAUGACCACCUGAAGGUUUUUGGGUGCAAGGCCUUUGUUCAUAUUCCUCAAGAUGAAAGGUCAAAGCUUGAUUUGAAGACACAACAGUGUAUCUUUCUUGGUUAUGGUGGUGAUGAGUUUGGCUACAAGCUGUUUGACCCUAUAGCAAGGAAAGUUGUGAGAAGUCGUGAUGUUGUGUUUGUUGAAGACCAAACAAUUGAGGAUAUUGUGAAGAUAAAGGGGCAGGUUCCUCAUCAGCAGCAGCAAGACAUGAUUGAUUCUGACCCAGUUCCUGCAGCUCCAGCUCCUGUGCAAGUCGAAGCAGAUGCAGAAGAUGUACAUGGUGAUGUACAUGGUGGUGCAGGUGAAGAAGAAGCUCCCCAACAACAACAGCAAGAGUAUGAUGCUGAAGUUGAUGAUCCGGAUCAGCAGGAAGCACCAGCACCAGAAAGUCCACCAGCUGCUCCACUCAGAAGAUCCAACAGGGGUCGAAUUCCUUCCAGCAGGUAUCCCUCAGAUCAAUACGUGGUGUUAUUAUCUGACGGUUCAGAACCUGAAUGCUUUGUAGAUGCAAUGUAA